UUGCGCGUUUGAAGCUACGUUCCUGCCGCCUACCCCCCACGGCAGGUCCAAGUAGUCGGGUUUCACAUUUAAAUUUAAUUUAUUAAUUGAAUAAUUUUUGUUUUGUAUCUCUGAGUGUAUGGACCCCUGCGUUGUUUUCCCAGAAGCACCGCAACCCCAUGCACAUAAUUUAACAAUUAAUAUUAUUUGUUUGCAAUUAUUAUUAAAUUUAAUUUUUUAAUUAUUUCGCUAAGUGGCCCAUGGAAAAAAAUAAUUUUUUUUUAGAUUUAUAAAAUUCUAUUAUAAUGUUUUCAACUUACUUUGAUUACUUUUCGUGUCGUAAUGUAAUGAACACAAUUUCAAGAAUUAACUUUUCUUUUACUGGUCGCACAAUGAGUCUCCUGGUGGAAGAUGCUGAAUUUAUAAGUGGUUGAACUUGGCAAUUUUCAGGACAUGGUUGAACACAGAAGUUACCAGAGGAAUAGAUCCUAAAACACUAUUACUAAAACGGAAGAAUGUUUACCAGGACGUUAGUGAUUACCAGUGUACAAGGAUAGAAUGGACUACUUUGCAACCAGGAGCGCACAAGACCAGAAGAACGUUUGUUAUAUUCAGAUAAGUUUGUUACUUACUAAGAUAGAUCACUUUGCUAAGUAGGAUGGACCACUUUACCACCACCAGGAGCACACGACCAGGAGAACGUUAUGUUGAUAAGUAUCUUACUUGCUAAGAUAGAUCAUAAGAUAUUAGUUUUUUGCGAUCAUUUUCUAUAUUAUUUUGUUAUAUUAAGAUAUGUAUCUUACUUGCAUGC